ACAAACUUGGUCAUUUAGAGGAAGUAAAAGUCGUAACAAGGUCUCCGUAGGUGAACCUGCGGAGGGAUCAUUACUGAAUGGCCCCACAUGGGGCCGUCGACCCUCAAACCCGUGGAGGUAGAAAGUGCUUUGGCGUCCCGUCGGUCGCCUUUGUGAAGCAGCAAGCCUGUGUCUGAGCCGAAAUUUGAAGUCAAAACUUUCAACAAAGGAUCUCUUGGCUCUUUAGAGGAAGUAAAAGUCGUAACAAGGUCUCCGUAGGUGAACCUGCGGAGGGAUCAUUACUGAAUGGCCCCACAUGGGGCCGUCGACCCUCAAACCCGUGGAGGUAGAAAGUGCUUUGGCGUCCCGUCGGUCGCCUUUGUGAAGCAGCAAGCCUGUGUCUGAGCCGAAAUUUGAAGUCAAAACUUUCAACAAAGGAUCUCUUGGCUCUUGCAUCGAUGAAGAACGCAGC
rnacentral:misc_RNA from 1 species